UCAGGCAGCCGCAGCUAAACGUCUGAGGAUGUGAGCAACAGGAACACUAAUUCUUUGCUGCUUGGGAUGAAAUCCCACCGAUUGUCAACUCCAGGAGGGCAAGGACUUUGCUUGUUCAUGGCUAUAUCCCAAGGUCUAGAACAAUGUCUGGCACAAAAGUCUUCGGUUAGUAGGUCAGCGGGUCUUGUAAGAAGGUGGAAUCGACAUCUUCCAAGCUGUCCAUUCUUCCCUGUUCCCGCCAUCAGCAUGGUGUCCAGGCCUUCAUCGAUUCUCACCUGGACAACUUUUGUAGCCUCCUGUCUUCCUGGGCUCAUGUCUCGGGGUCUAGUUUAUCCUCUCACUGCAAAUGUAAGGGUACCAGACACGGGCAAUAGCUUUUUUCUGUUAGGGCCCACAGAUGAGAUCCCAACUUUUACUAACA